CCUACGGGUGGCAGCAGUGAGGAAUAUUGGUCAAUGGGCUUACGCCUGAACCAGCCAAGUCGCGUGAGGGAAGACUGCCCUAUGGGUUGUAAACCUCUUUUGUCAGGGAGCAACGCCGGCUACGUGUAGCCGGACUGAGAGUACCUGAAGAAAAAGCAUCGGCUAACUCCGUGCCAGCAGCCGCGGUAAUACGGAGGAUGCGAGCGUUAUCCGGAUUUUUUGGGUUUAAAGGGUGCGUAGGCGGAAUGCCAAGUCAGCGGUAAAAUCGCGGGGCUCAACCUCGCUCCGCCGUUGACACUGGCGUUCUAGAGUGGGCGAGAAGUAUGCGGAAUGCGUGGUGUAGCGGUGAAAUGCAUAGAUAUCACGCAGAACUCCGAUUGCGAAGGCAGCAUGCCGGCGCCCAACUGACGCUGAAGCACGAAAGCGUGGGUAUCGAACAGGAUUAGAUACCCUUGUAGUC
rnacentral:rRNA from 1 species